ACUACGGGAGGCAGCAGUGAGGAAUAUUGGUCAAUGGGCGGAAGCCUGAACCAGCCAAGUAGCGUGCAGGAUGACGGCCCUACGGGUUGUAAACUGCUUUUAUACGGGAAUAACGCGCCAUACGUGUAGGGCUUUGCAUGUACCGUAUGAAUAAGGACCGGCUAAUUCCGUGCCAGCAGCCGCGGUAAUACGGAAGGUCCGGGCGUUCUCCGGAUUUAUUGGGUUUAAAGGGAGCGUAGGCCACAUGUCAAGCGUGCUGUGAAAUGUCCGGGCUCAACCCGGGCCUUGCAGCGCGAACUGGCGUGCUUGAGUCCGCGGAAGGCAGGCGGAAUUCGUCGUGUAGCGGUGAAAUGCUUAGAUAUGACGAAGAACCCCGAUUGCGAAGGCAGCUUGCUGCAGCGGAACUGACGCUGAUGCUCGAAAGCGCGGGUAUCGAACAGGAUUAGAUACCCGAGUAGUC
rnacentral:rRNA from 1 species